UUUUUAAAGAGUUUGAUUCUGGCUCAGGAUUAACGCUGGCGGUAUGCAUAACACAUGCAAGUCGAACGAGGAUGUUUGCUGGACUUUGUCUAUAAGACAAAUGUAGAUAAAGCCCAGUAAGCAAGCCGAGUGGCGAACGAGAGAGUAACACGUUGGUAACCUACCUCAUACUCAGGGAUAACUCAGCGAAAGCUGGGCUAAUACCGGAUAGUCCGUGUACUGUAAUGGUACACGGUAAAGUUUUUACGGUAUGAGAGGGGCCUACGACCUAUCAGCUAGUUGGCGAGAUAAAAGCUCACCAAGGCAACGACGGGUAGCUGGUCUGAGAGGACGAUCAGCCUCGCUGGGACUGAGACACGGCCCAGACUCCUACGGGAGGCAGCAGUGAGGAAUUUUCCACAAUGGGCGAAAGCCUGAUGGAGCAAUACCGCGUGUAGGAUGAAGGCCUUCGGGUCGUAAACUACUUUUUAUAAGGAGCAACUAUGAGUUUACUUAUAGAAUAAGUCACGGCUAAUCACGUGCCAGCAGCCGCGGUAAUACGUGAGUGGCAAGCGUUAUCCGGAAUCAUUGGGCGUAAAGCGUCCGUAGGGGGAUGUUCAAGUGAAAUGUUAAAUCCUUCGACCCAAUCGAAGAAAUGCGUUUCAUACUGUUCAUCUAGAAGAUGGGAGAGGUAAAUAGAAUUUCCGGAGUAGGGGUUAUAUCCGUAGAUACCGGAAGGAAUACCAAUAGCGAAGGCAAUUUACUGGCCCAUUCUUGACCCUCAAGUGACGAAAGCGUGGGGAGCAAACAGGAUUAGAUACCCUGGUAGUCCACGCCCUAAACAAUGGAUACUCGACGUUCGGAGGAAUCGAUCCCUCUGAGUGUCUAAGUUAACACAUUAAGUAUCCCGCCUGGGAAGUACGAUCGCAAGAUUAAAACUCAAAGAAAUUGACGGGGAUCCACACAAGCGGUGGAGCAUGUGGUUUAAUUCGUAACUAAGCGAAGAACCUUACCAAGGUUUGACAUUCUACUAACGUCCUAGAAACAGGAAAGUGCCCGAAAGGGAAAGUAGUAACAGGCGCUGCAUGGUUGUCGUCAGCUCGUGUCGUGAGAUGUCGGGUUAAGUCCCUAAACGAGCGCAACCCUCGGACUGUGUUGUAUUUUUCACAGUCGACUGCCUCGGUAACGAGGAGGAAGGCGGGGAUGACGUCAAAUCAGCAUGGCUCUUACACCUUGGGCGACACACGUGCUACAAUGGAGUGCACAAAAAGAAGCAAUAUCGUAAGAUGGAGCAAAUCUCGAAAACAUUCCUCGGUUCGGAUUGAGGGCUGCAACUCGCCCUCAUGAAGCUGGAAUCGCUAGUAACCGUGAAUCAGCCACGUCACGGUGAAUAUGUUCCUGGAUCUUGUACACACCGCCCGUCAAGUCAUGGGAGGAGGGAGUGCCAGAAGACCCGCGUAUGCGGGGACAAGGCAAUACCUCUGACUGGGACUAAGUCGUAACAAGGUAUCCGUAGGGGAAUCUGCGGAUGGAUCACCUCCUUU
rnacentral:rRNA from 1 species